rnacentral:rRNA from 1 species
GACGAACGCUGGCGGCGUGCUUAACACAUGCAAGUCGAACGGAAAGGCCCUGCUUUUGUGGGGUGCUCGAGGGGCGAACGGGUGAGUAACACGCGAGUAACCUGCCCUUGACUUUGGGAUAACUUCAGGAAACUGGUGCUAAUACCGGAUAGGAGCGCCUGCUGCAUGGUGGGGGUUGGAACGUUUCGGCGGUUGGGGAUGGACUCGGGGCUUAUCAGCUUGUUGGUGGGGUAGUGGCUUACCAAGGCUUUGACGGGUAGCCGGCCUGAGAGGGUGACCGGGCACAUUGGGACUGAGAUACGGACCAGACUCCUACGGGAGACAGCAGUGGGGAAUAUUGCACAGUGGGGGGAAGCCUGAUGCAGCAACGCCGCGUGCGGGAUGACGGCCUUGGGGUUGUAAACCGCUUUCGCCUGUGACGAAGCGUGAGUGACGGUAAUGGGUAAAGAAGCACCGGCUAACUACGUG